rnacentral:miRNA from 1 species
ACACUACGAAUUUAGCCAAGCAAUAAAUUGCCAGCAGUUAAUUAAAUACCAACUAAUUUUCCAAGAUGUUGAUUAUCCAUCAUCAUCAACUUGGUAUAAAUUGUUGCAUUCCCGGCAAUUCAUCCUUGGCUCUACUGCACUCUCA